rnacentral:rRNA from 1 species
AUACGUAGGGUGCGAGCGUUGUCCGGAAUUACUGGGCGUAAAGAGCUCGUAGGUGGUUUGUCGCGUCGUCUGUGAAAUUCCGGGGCUUAACUCCGGGCGUGCAGGCGAUACGGGCAUAACUUGAGUACUGUAGGGGAGACUGGAAUUCCUGGUGUAGCGGUGAAAUGCGCAGAUAUCAGGAGGAACACCGGUGGCGAAGGCGGUUCUCUGGGCAGUAACUGACGCUGAGGAGCGAAAGCAUGGGUAGCGAACAGGAUUAGAUACCCUGGUAGUCCAUGCCGUAAACGGUGGGCGCUAGGUGUAGGGGUCUUCCACGACUUCUGUGCCGUAGCUAACGCAUUAAGCGCCCCGCCUGGGGAGUACGGCCGCAAGGCUAAAACUCAAAUGAAUUGACGGGG